rnacentral:snoRNA from 1 species
AAGACUAUACUUUCUUUCAGGGUUUCUAUAGUCUGUGACUGGAGAAGUUUCUCUGAACGUGUAGAGCACCCGAAACCAGGGAGGAGACGCAGUGUUCUCUCCUGAGCGUGAAGCCGGCUCUUGGUGUUGCCUGUGCAGCUGCCACUUGCCCUUGAUGAUCGUUCUCCUCUCUCUGGUUGAGAGAGGCAGAGGGAGAGAACACCGUCUGAGUGGU